GACGUAGGGCGCGAGCGUUGUCCGGAUUUAUUGGGCGUAAAGAGCUCGUAGGCGGCUCAUUGCGUCAACCGUGAAAACCAGCAGCUCAACUGUUGGCUUGCGGUUGAUACGGGUGGGCUGGAGUUCGGUAGGGGAGACUGGAAUUCCUGGUGUAGCGGUGAAAUGCGCAGAUAUCAGGAGGAACACCGGUGGCGAAGGCGGGUCUCUGGGCCGAUACUGACGCUGAUGCGCGAAAGCGUGGGGAGCAAACGGG
rnacentral:rRNA from 1 species